rnacentral:rRNA from 1 species
GAGCACGUAGGUGGGUUUGUAAGUCAGUUGUGAAAGCCUUCUGCUUAACGGAAGAACAGCAUCUGAUACUGCAAAGCUAGAGUGCGGAAGGGGAGAGUGGAACUUCUGGUGGAGCGGUGAAAUGCGUAGAUAUCAGAAGGAACACCGGCGGCGAAGGCGACUCUCUGGUUCGUAACUGACGCUGAGUGUGCGAAAGCUAGGGGAGCAAACGGGAUUAGAUACCCCGGUAGUCCUAGCCGUAAACGAUGGGCACUAAGUAGAGGGGUUU